rnacentral:rRNA from 1 species
UACGUAGGGCGCAAGCGUUGUCCGGAUUCACUGGGCGUAAAGGGCGCGUAGGCGGCCUUCUAAGUCGAACGUGAAAUCCCCGGGCUCAACCCGGGAACUGCGUCCGAGACUGGAAGGCUCGAAUCCGGGAGAGGGAUGUGGAAUUCCAGGUGUAGCGGUGAAAUGCGUAGAUAUCUGGAGGAACACCGGUGGCGAAGGCGGCGUUCUGGACUGCAACUGACACUGAGGAACGAAAGCCAGGGGAGCAAACGGG